GAUGAACGCUGGCGGCGUGCUUAACACAUGCAAGUCGAACGGAGUUGAUUUAAGGAAGCAAGCUUGCUUGAAGAAUUGAAUUAACUUAGUGGCGGACGGGCGAGUAACACGUGAGCAACCUACCUCUUACAGGGGAAUAACAACGGGAAACCGUUGCUAAUACCGCAUGAUAUGUGCUGAAGGCAUCUUUGGCACAUCAAAAGAGCAAUCUGGUGGGAGAUGGGCUCGCGUCUGAUUAGCUAGUUGGUAAGGUAACGGCCUACCAAGGCGACGAUCAGUAGCCGGACUGAGAGGUCGAACGGCCGCAUUGGGACUGAGACACGGCCCAGACUCCUACGGGAGGCAGCAGUGGGGAAUAUUGGGCAAUGGGCGAAAGCCUGACCCAGCAACGCCGCGUGAAUGAUGAAGGCCUUCGGGUUGUAAAAUUCUUUGGACAGGGACGAAGAAAGUGACGUACC
rnacentral:rRNA from 1 species